GACGAUACAAAGCGAUGCAAAUUUUUGUAACAAACAGCCCGCAGUAAAUUUGACGAUGUACAAAAAUUGGUCAUCUAGAAGCAGGGUUAUAGUAAUUUAAAACUAAAACUUCUUCUUCUUCUUCUUCUUCUUCUUUUGGCUCAACAACCGUUGUCGGUCAAGGCCAGCCUGUACCAUUUGUGGGGUUGGUUUUCAAUGAAUUUUGGACUAUCCCUCCAUAGCAGGAUAGUCAGUCCUACGUAUGGUGGCACGGUCUAUUUGGAACUUGAACCCAUGACGGGCAUGUUGUUAAAUCGUGCAAGUUGACGACUGUACGUUGAGACCGGCCGAAAACUAAAACGCCGCGACAAAUUUCCGGCGAAGUCUUUGUUCUAAUAAACAAUCUCAGUUUUAAAACAAAAACACGGGCAACUGUCGUGGACAGUGUUGUUAGCGGCGACUUAUUUUUCUGACGUGUUUGUUUGAGUUUUUCUAAAACUAGCUAAUGUUAAUAUGGUUAUUUAUCGCGGCGUUGUAGGACCGCCGUAAUUGGAUAAUCUGUCGUGUAUAUGGUGUAGUCAUGAGCCGGAGUGAAGUCGUGGGGAUCCUUAUAUAAAAAUUUAAUUCGACUACAAAAUAAAAUCGGGGUUGACUUCGCAAUUCCGCAAGAGUCAGGCCGAGUCCUGAUUUCAAUUUGACCAAGAAAAUCCCAAAACAAAAUCAUCCCUUUAAAACGGACUUUUCCGUUAUGGCGCGGGGAGGUAACUACCGAAAAAGUAAAAAUGGCGCCAUGCUCUGACGGAAUGAAAACGGGAAUGGUAAACGUUUGCGCCAUCUCUAUUCGUUUCACAGGGGAAGAAGAAGAGAAUGGUGGGAAAAACAGAAAGCUUUUAGGACAUUUUCCGUACGAUGAAUGGUUUUGAAUACGAGAAGAAGUCAUCUGCCGUCGAAUUACAAAUUUAAUAUGAUAAAAAGGCUAGUAGUAGCCUUACUUGAAUGAGAAUUUAAGUAAUUCUCGAAUGAUAAGUUAUUAACAAAUGCUACCUAAACAACACCACACCAAAAAGAACAACCGUUUAUGUAUUUGUCGAGUAUACCAAUGUGUACGCAGUGCUUUUUGACAACAUACAACUAUUAUACUAUUGCUGAAAUCAUACUUUAUUGUAACGAUGUUGCUAAUGUAUUAUUUUUAUUCGGCAAUAAGGUGGGCUUCGGUAUUUGAUUGGUAGAUAUUUAAUAAUUAUAUGUUUUGCAAAUAUUUUUCGAGCAUUUGAUACAAUAAGGGUAUUCAAUCGUUUGAUAGGAAAAAGUAAAUUUUGUAAAAAGUAAAGUUGUAGAUGCUUGCCCUCUGAACUACUAAACUGCGCUCGUGCAAAACAAUUUUAAAACAUGGCAGAAAGAUGCUAAAAAUAACACGCUCGUAACAUUUCAUUUCGCACAGCGCACAAAGUGUGAAGCGAAGUGUGCGAUAUUUACGAGCCCACGCCAGAGGUAUAAGAAAUUAAAAAUGUCGACACACUGCAAAGAUUCGCUCACAGCACGUCUGCUCUGCUCCGGUCCCGAUACGCUCGACAACGUGGCAACGUGCUCGCGAGAUCGCGCACCGCGUGUGUCGGUGUCGGUGCAGUUGCGCAUAUGUGCCAUUUUUGUACGCUGCAGUACCAAGCGAGCAGACGAAAAACGAGUAUCUUCUCUCCUUAGCGAACUGCCACGGGAUCGGUAGCGUUUGGCGGCGCGUGUUACGACGCCUGGGCGAGCAAUGUGUGUACGUCGGAAGUGCAGAGCGCGUACGGAGCGAAUGCGCAAUGGCGCAUGCUGUCGCGUAAGGAAAACGAACACACAAAAAAAAAACUUAUUGUAGUUUAGCUGGAAGUUUACAGGAAACGCUUGUAUUCGAAUACUUUUAGGGAGGUAAUUUCUUACAUUUGUUAAACUAAAACGUUGAGCAUAAAGGAUUUAAUAACUUGUCUUGAUCUCAAUUGCGUAAGAUUCAUAUUGAAUGAUGAAGUACAUCAACGAAAGGAAAAAUCACGUUCGUUUCCAUUGCCGACGAACGACGACGGUGUUAAAAUUAAUCUUUGAACACGUUUGUGUGCAAGUGUGUUAAAAAAAGGAAAAAAAAACACACACACACAUACAAACACACGACGUUUGUUAAUUUUAUUGGAGGGGCAUUGUUAAUUGUAUAAAAAAAAACAUUCACAUUAGCAUAGCUGAGAUAGCCAACAAAGAUCAUUUGUCUCUUUCUACCUUUCAGUUAUAUACGAUCUUUCGCGUACAUAGUAAACUUCCCCUGCAAUCAGCAACGGUUACUAGUGGUAGGGCAUACUUUUGUGUUGCAUACGAAAGCAAUUAUUAGACCACGCCUUCUAAACCAUUCCCCAUAUCUUCUGGCUGGUUCGCUCACUCUACCGAACCGCACGACUUCCGUACCCGUUUUCCCUUACUUCAACGAAUUCCAUGUAUUGUUCGCAUGAAGAUGUAUUGUGCAAGGCUAAAUACCAAAAGGUAGAGUAUGACCAUUUCUUACCCAGCAGAACCUCGAAACGACCAAUACCAUUCGUUAGGGGCGCAAGCGCUCAUCAGCGUACCCUUGUCAGACAGUGAAGCUUACAAACGCACUCACAUUCACGUGUCUUUCGACGCAGCAGGCGAUGUGAAGCAAUAACCUCAACUGUAGUGUAACCGAGACACAAGCACUGCUAAAGCGUGCGUUAUCCUGCUCACACUUCCGGAGUAGAAGCGAACGAAAGCGGUCGGCUGUUUGCUGCCGAGCAGGCAGGAAGAAGAAGAAGCACCACUGCCAAGCAUUCGACCAAUUUCAUAAACAUCCGAUUCGCCAGUUCAGUUACAUACACGUCGAUACGCGGCAACACGAGUCUCCGGGCGACCCGUGACGACAGGCGAGAACGGUAUCGAAACGAUGCCAAUCAGCAACCAAAACUGCUGUUUCAGCACGUAGUUCCCGCAGUACCAGCGAUAUCGAGGUAAGCAACCCUGCACAAAUUUGAUUCCAUCAUUGUUCCUGCACUGUCCUACAAAAGCGGUGGAAGCAGCAGUUCCCAUAUCGCUUGGUCUGCCUUCACAAUGGAAGCGGUUUUCCGUUUUUGUUCAUUCGCUUCGAUCGUAGCAGACGGGUCCAUCUGUCAUUUGGCCUGUACGGGCGAGCCAAUGUGUCAGAGCGAGAAAACAUUACGCGCUCGUCUGCACGUUGAUCGUAGGCUGCUAAAGCGAAAUAGCUAACUGCUUCACUCCUUCAUUAGCGUUGAGCAUUCCGCUCACAAAAAGGAGGGUAACCCUUAUUAAACAUCUUCACAGCAGAGCGGCCCAUUCCACACCUUUCACCCCUUUGGUUUCUCGCUGUUACACCCCGCUCUCGCGCAGCAUAAACCCAAUAGUGCGCAAGUGCUGUCGGCAGUAAGCGCAAAAGAAAAAAAAAAGAAGUCGCUUGGUUGCCACACAAAAAAUAAAUAAAAAAAACAAGCGCGUGUAAGUGAGAGCGAGCACAUUAGCACAGUAAAAAAGAGAGACUCGCUCUUUCGCAAAGGUAAACAACACAACACACUCUACCGUACUGCUGGCUGCACUUACACACAUUCAAGUGAAGCGUCUCGCCGUGUACACGGUAGCACGGAAACGCAUCGACUCCCUUGAGCGCCUCUUCGCUCGCUCCGUACCAGCUGCACGGCCUCACCAUCGUUUAUUAGUUCCUCGUCUGUCGCUGGUGUGUACCCGGGAAAGAGGGCAGCGCGGUUUUCCUGCUUUUCCGCGUCCAGUCCGCACGACAAGAGACGGGGCAAGCAGGGCCUGCUACUGUGCGCGCGCACGCUCUCGAACUCUAGUCUAGUCUGGUGUCACCGGGAGCGUGUGUGUAUGUGACGUGAAGUGGAGAAGAAAGCGGCCCACUGGCGAAUGCGAAGCGAAGCGUUACGCUGUCUGCUCUCCUCCCGGGCAAGCCACAAGCCACAAGCAGCGGCAAGGGGACGCAAAGCUUUAUCGCCCGUUUUGUUCGGCCCAUUGGAUUGGUUCAGGCGUGUGGUGCUGAUAGUGCAGUGUGGUGUUGAUAACAGCCCCGAGUGAGCAGGGUAGGGGCAUGAGCCAAUGUAUGGCAAGUGGUGAUGGUGGUGCUGGUGGUGUUGGUCUAUCUAAAAGACUAACAAUGGCAAGACAGCCCGAAAGUGAACGCGCACGUCGUCGGUAGCGAUUAGAAGGAGAGAAAGAGUGCGCAUGAGAGUAUGAGUGUGUGAGUGUUUAUGUGGCUGCUGUCAUUGUUAAAAGCCCUUCUGGCGAUUAACAUCCCCCCAGGGGGUAUCAAUCGAAUCAAUUUGUGUGUAUAUGUGUGUUUGUAUGUAUGCAGAAUUUAAGUGAGCAUUAUCUUUGGUAGCUGAAGAUAAGUGAACGCGUGGCGAUAGGCCCUUUGGAUGCAGAUACUGUGUAGAUAAAGUAAACUAACAAAAAAAGAAUAAAAGAGAAUCGAGGGCAACUUUCAGUCAUCCGUCGCGUUCAGUAAGCGCUCGUGCACACGCACACAUACAGUGGGUAGAUAAAUUGUUCGAUCGUGCUGUGAAAGCGGAGCACUAAAAAAAGCAUUAAACGCGGAGCAGAAUCUUGACAACUAAAUUGUCAACCAUGAAUAAACAGCAAGUGUGACAAAGUUGGAAGACCUUUACCUACCCGGUAUGGCAACUACCUUCGUGAAUCGUAAGUGAGAAAAACAGCACCAGCAGCAACGUUUGUGAGAUGUGUUGCGAUGGAAACGCAUCCCAACGAGCGUGCCGUGAUUCUGUCUUAAUGCCGGAAAGUGUGUACUGUUGUGUUUUUUCAUGAUAGUGUGCGUGAAUGUCCCACCACUACAUAUUUAAAUAGCGUGUGUAAUACAAUCAUCGGACACGCUGCUGGCAAAAACAGUGCGCUGGUAGUGGUUUAGUUCCAAAAAAGGAACGCACACACACACUGUUAUUUAAAUAUACAUUACGAAAAGUGCGUUACGGUGCGUUUUGUGUGGCGGUGUGUAUGUGUGAGUGUAUUUGGUGGUGCUGCUGCUUUCGUUAGAAAUCAAGAGCAUGUGCGGAAAAUAAUACUGUGAGCAACCGAGCGAAAGGAAAAUGUGUCGAUGUAUGAAUUAAUGCCUGUCGAGGUAUAAGAAGGGCAAAUUGAAUCCAUAAGUGAUUUAUUAGCUGAUUUGAAUAUAGAGCUCCUCUUAGCUCCUCCUGGCUGAUUAUCGUCUUGAUAUAGUGUUGAUGCUACAGCUUGAUGGUAAGUUUGUCAUUGUUAUAUUGGCAGUACAAUCAAUGUGUAUACGCGAUCUAAAUGCUAUUAAUCUAGCCACAUCAAAGUGGUUUAUUUACACAAAAGGCUGAAUAAGCUCAUCUAAGGGUUUGUGGCAUAGCUCAAAAAUUAAGAAAUGGUUUACCAAUUACAGAGUAUUGGGAAGCGUAAACAAUAAAAAUAACAUUAUUUUAAUAUUUCUUAGACGUUCGCUUUUGGGGCAUUUUUGCCUAUCGAUCCCAUAAUACACCUGUAUCUUCACCCAUCAUACCCUUUUCCGUUGGUGAAAUGUUGAAAUCUUUAUCGCCGUCUGCUCUGCCGCCAUAACAAAGUAGACGAUGCAUUCGAUUUCCAUUCCAAUCCUUCUCUGGUGCGCCACAACGCUCAUGUUACAGCGCUGGAGGAAAAGAAUAUAUCGCCCAGUAGCGAACCGCGAGCAACGUCUGGGAUGACGCGGAGAGGCUAUAACGGGUGGUGAUGGAGGCAUGCUGACGUACACCAGUUUGCUUCUCACCCAACGAUGACGAGGAAUCUAUGGCGAUUACACAUGUGAUGACGAAUAUAGCGCGAAUUCAGCAGCGGGAUGUAGAUCAAGGUUAGCAUGGCAUGGAAUCAUAUGGUUUAUGGUUGCAGUCAUUUCAUUCCACUCGAUUGGGGCGGGUGCAAGGGGUGAACAGUGUUUUGGAUGACCUGAUCUAAUCGGGUCAAAGGGUCGUAGAGGUAGGGAUGUAUCGCCAAAAUUCACAAAUCCUUACGUGUGUGCAUUUUUAUGCGAAGGGAUGUUGUGGAUAGGCUGAUCGUGCAUUUUGCAGCAAAAAGCUACGUUUUUAUGUUUGUUUUUAAAAAUAUAUAAUUUGUGUUGAAGAUGGUUUCGAUUUUACGUUUAAUCUACUUGUUAAGAUUUUAGCGUUAUUUCAAACCACUAUAGAAAGUACUUUCUUAUAACAGUGACUAUUAUAAAGCUAUAUUAUAUUAUACAUAUGUAAUAUACAUAAAGUUAUACAGGCUGUAUUAGUUGUUUUUUGUACUUUUUCUCACAGUAAAAUAUUGUACCGAGGCCAAAUCUAAAACUCAGCGAUUGCUAUAAAUCAAAUAAUUAAUCAGGAAAGCAAAAUGCGAACCCAUUAUAUAAUAAGUUCGUAUUCGUAAAAUUUACAUUUGAAAUAUUUAAAUCCAAAAUAAACUACUACCACUACUACUAUACAGGGGCUAUGCUGUUGAUUAUGAACCCAGUAAAAUAAUGACUACAGUAUAAGCAAUCCAUCUAAUAACAUUUUUUAUAAAUCAUACGCAUUAUUGAAACAUUUUGUAAUACUUUUUCUUUCGUUUACUUGAAAAUACCCUUUUAUAGAAAAUACACAAAAUACAAUUAUGGCUUUCAUA